GCGGGUGUGGUUCAAUGGCAGAAUACGUCCUUCCCAAGGAUGGGACGAGGGUUCGAUUCCCUUCACCCGCUCCA
rnacentral:tRNA from 3 species